rnacentral:rRNA from 1 species
UGAGGAAUAUUGGUCAAUGGGCGGGAGCCUGAACCAGCCAAGCCGCGUGAGGGAGGAAGGCCCUAUGGGUCGUAAACCUCUUUUGUCAGGGAACAAAAGCGAGUAUGUAUACUAGUCUGAGUGUACCUGAAGAAAAACGCAAUCGGCUAACUCCGUGCCAGCAGCCGCGGUAAUACGGAGGAUGCGAGCGUUAUCCGGAUUUAUUGGGUUUAAAGGGUGCGUAGGCGGCGGUGCAAGUCAGCGGUAAAAGCCCGGGGCUCAACCCCGGCGAGCCGCUUGAAACUGCAGUGCUAGAGAAGGCGAGAGGUACGCGGAAUGCGCAGUGUAGCGGUGAAAUGCUUAGAUAUUGCGCAGAACUCCGAUUGCGAAGGCAGCGUACUGGCGCCUGACUGACGCUGAGGCACGAAAGCGUGGGGAUCGAACAGGAUUAGAUACC